rnacentral:rRNA from 1 species
CGGACGGGGGAGUAAUGUCUGGGAAACUGCCCGAUGGAGGGGGAUAACUACUGGAAACGGUAGCUAAUACCGCAUAACGUCGCAAGAUCAAAGAGGGGGACCUUAGGGCCUCUUGCCAUCGGAUGUGCCCAGACGGGAUUAGCUAGUAGGUGGGGUAACGGCUCACCUAGGCGACGAUCCCUAGCUGGUCUGAGAGGAUGACCAGCCACACUGGAACUGAGACACGGUCCAG